CGGGGUGUGACGCAGUGGGAGCGUGUCAGUUUUGGGAGUUGGAAGUCACAUGUUCGAAUCAUGUCAUCCCGA
rnacentral:tRNA from 1 species